rnacentral:tRNA from 1 species
AGUAAUGUGUCUGAUUUAAGAAAUAAAUUGUAAAUUUAUAUAAAAGAAAAAUUAUUCUUCUUUACUA